rnacentral:rRNA from 1 species
GCCCGUGGCGGGCGGCUAACACAUGCAAGUCGAGCGGUAACACAGAGAGCUUGCUCUCGGGUGACGAGCGGCGGACGGGUGAGUAAUGUCUGGGAAACUGCCUGAUGGAGGGGGAUAACUACUGGAAACGGUAGCUAAUACCGCAUAACGUCGCAAGACCAAAGUGGGGGACCUUCGGGCCUCAUGCCAUCAGAUGUGCCCAGAUGGGAUUAGCUAGUAGGUGGGGUAAUGGCUCACCUAGGCGACGAUCCCUAGCUGGUCUGAGAGGAUGACCAGCCACACUGGAACUGAGACACGGUCCAGACUCCUACGGGAGGCAGCAGUGGGGAAUAUUGCACAAUGGGCGCAAGCCUGAUGCAGCCAUGCCGCGUGUAUGAAGAAGGCCUUCGGGUUGUAAAGUACUUUCAGCGAGGAGGAAGGCAUUAAGGUUAAUAACCUUGGUGAUUGACGUUACUCGCAGAAGAAGCACCGGCUAACUCCGUGCCAGCAGCCGCGGUAAUACGGAGGGUGCAAGCGUUAAUCGGAAUUACUGGGCGUAAAGCGCACGCAGGCGGUCUGUCAAGUCGGAUGUGAAAUCCCCGGGCUCAACCUGGGAACUGCAUUCGAAACUGGCAGGCUAGAGUCUUGUAGAGGGGGGUAGAAUUCCAGGUGUAGCGGUGAAAUGCGUAGAGAUCUGGAGGAAUACCGGUGGCGAAGGCGGCCCCCUGGACAAAGACUGACGCUCAGGUGCGAAAGCGUGGGGAGCAAACAGGAUUAGAUACCCUGGUAGUCCACGCCGUAAACGAUGUCGACUUGGAGGUUGUGCCCUUGAGGCGUGGCUUCCGGAGCUAACGCGUUAAGUCGACCGCCUGGGGAGUACGGCCGCAAGGUUAAAACUCAAAUGAAUUGACGGGGGCCCGCACAAGCGGUGGAGCAUGUGGUUUAAUUCGAUGCAACGCGAAGAACCUUACCUACUCUUGACAUCCAGAGAACUUAGCAGAGAUGCUUUGGUGCCUUCGGGAACUCUGAGACAGGUGCUGCAUGGCUGUCGUCAGCUCGUGUUGUGAAAUGUUGGGUUAAGUCCCGCAACGAGCGCAACCCUUAUCCUUUGUUGCCAGCGGUCCGGCCGGGAACUCAAAGGAGACUGCCAGUGAUAAACUGGAGGAAGGUGGGGAUGACGUCAAGUCAUCAUGGCCCUUACGAGUAGGGCUACACACGUGCUACAAUGGCAUAUACAAAGAGAAGCGACCUCGCGAGAGCAAGCGGACCUCAUAAAGUAUGUCGUAGUCCGGAUUGGAGUCUGCAACUCGACUCCAUGAAGUCGGAAUCGCUAGUAAUCGUAGAUCAGAAUGCUACGGUGAAUACGUUCCCGGGCCUUGUACACACCGCCCGUCACACCAUGGGAGUGGGUUGCAAAAGAAGUAGGUAGCUUAACCUUCGGGAGGGCGCUUACCACUUUGGAUUCGG